GACAGAGGUGCCGAGCGUUAGGCGGAAUCACUGGGCUUAAAGCGUGUGUAGGCGGGCGGGCAAGUACCUUGUGAAAUCCCACGGCUCGACCGUGGAACGGCUGGGUAUACUGCCUGUCUUGAGCCAACUAGGGGCGAGCGGAACAGACGGUGGAGCGGUGAAAUGCGUAGAUAUCGCUUGGAACGCCAAAGGUGAAAACAGGUUGCUGGGGUGGUGUCGACGCUGAGACACGAAAGCCAGGGGAGCAAACGGG
rnacentral:rRNA from 1 species